rnacentral:rRNA from 1 species
UACAGAGGUCCCGAGCGUUGUUCGGAUUCAUUGGGCGUAAAGGGUGCGUAGGCGGCUUCCUAAGUUUGAUGUGAAAUCCUGGGGCUCAACCCUGGAACUGCAUUGAAUACUGGGAGGCUAGAGUACUGGAGAGGAAACUGGAAUUUACGGUGUAGCAGUGAAAUGCGUAGAGAUCGUAAGGAAGACCAGUGGCGAAGGCGGCCUGCUGGGCAGUUGCUGACACUGAGGCGCGACAGCGUGGGGAGCAAACAGG